rnacentral:rRNA from 1 species
CCUCAGUAGUUAGAUAACAAAACUACUCGCCAGAAUACUACAAGCUAUAGCUUAAAACUCAAAGGACUUGACGGUGCUUUACACCCCCUAGAGGAGCCUGUUCCGUAAUCGAUAAACCCCGAUCCACCCCACCCUCUCUUGCUCAGCCUAUAUACCGCCAUCUUCAGCAAACCCUAAUGAGGGUCACAAAGUGAGCGCAAAUGCCAUUGCCGCAAACACGUUAGGUCAAGGUGUAGCCUAUGAGACGGUAAAAAAUGGGCUACAUUUUCUACCUCAGAAAAUUCCACGAAAACCCUUAUGAAAUUUAAGGGUCCAAGGAGGAUUUAGCAGUAAAUUAAGAAUAGAGUGCUUAAUUGAACCAGGCCAUAAAGNG